UUACUUACCUGAACGGGGUUAAUGAACGAUCAAUAAGGUUUAUAUCCUAGGGAAGUGACCUUCCUUGCACAUUGAAGGAAUGCUAACCUAAGGUCUAUCUAAUUGAUGGAGCCUCCGUUAUAAUUUGUGGUAGUGGGGCCAGCGUUCGCGCGGCCCCUUC
rfam:Phaseolus vulgaris cultivar G19833 chromosome 6, whole genome shotgun sequence.